UUUCCGUAGGUGAACCUGCGGAAGGAUCAUUGAAUCGAUCAGACCUCUCCGGUAACUUUUGACGUCCCCCCACAUGCCGGCUGCCCUGACAGGCGGCCGGCUGUGCGCACGCCCCUGUUGUCGGGAGGCGUAGCAGCUUCUCCGGCAAGAGGUCCUGCGGGCCGGUCGGCUGGCGGGUCCCCCUUCUUGGGGUGCUCGGCCAGCCGUCCGCGCUGGCCAAACCCCCACCGACCCGAAACGAGACUGAAGCCACAGGUGCCGGCAGCGACUGCCGGGCCGCCGAACCAAAGACAACUCUCAACAACGGAUAUCUUGGCUCCC
rnacentral:misc_RNA from 1 species